GUCUAAGUACACACGGGCGGUACAGUGAAACUGCGAAUGGCUCAUUAAAUCAGUUAUGGUUCCUUUGGUCGCUCCUCUCCCGCUCCUUGGAUAACUGUGGUAAUUCUAGAGCUAAUACAUGCCUGUUUUUUGGGGACAGACUUUUUAGCAGGGUCUGCUGUGACAGGACAAGGGGUAAUGAUUUUAAACUAAAAGAGGGUAGAUUUAGACUAGACAUAAGGAAAAAAAUUUUUACAAUGAGGGUGGUGAAGCACUGGCAGAG
rnacentral:ncRNA from 1 species